rnacentral:lncRNA from 12 species
AUGUCUGUGCACAGCUGUAGAAAACACCCAACCCAGCACAGACCUCAUCCAAAUCCAUCAAACAAUGCCCUAGAACCAGGACUGCUGUGCCAACGUUUCCCACCACUGCUAUUGAUUUGGGUUUGUGACUUUGGAAGAAUUCCGCCACCGAAGGUAGAAAAAUAGUAAGUAAUUAAAUCAUCCCCCAAUCAUCAUGACAAGUGUGCCCAGGGAAUCGCUAAUAACAAGUGGCCCGAGUUGGGCACGCAGGCUCCCUCUGUGCUUUGGUGCCUAACACUAAAGAAGCUGCAACUGCUGCUUUAUUAAAAAGGACACGGGGUCUGACUGACGAAGCCACGGGCCUGCUGGGAGCGCAUCCGUGGCUGCCACUGCUGACCUUGUCAAUAACCCCAGCCCCACAGUCAGGGCCUCCCUGUGGGAGCCUGUGGGUCCCCAUUCCAGCCAUGCAGUCCCUGUGCUUCCCAGCCCCACCCACUCUGCUCCGACUGACCUCGUCA